AGCAGCCGCGGUAAUUCCAGCUCCAAUAGCGUAUAUUAAAGUUGCUGCAGUUAAAAAGCUCGUAGUUGAAUUUCGGGACUAAUAUGUCGGUCGUGCCUCGGUACGUACUGGUUUAUUGGUUUCUCCUUUCUGAAGAACCAUGAUGUCAUUUAUUUGGUGUCGUGGGGAAUCAGGACUGUUACUUUGAAAAAAUUAGAGUGUUUAAAGCAGGCUCACGCUUGAAUACAUUAGCAUGGAAUAAUGAAAUAGGACGUUUGAUUCUAUUUUGUUGGUUUCUAGGAUCGACGUAAUGAUUAAUAGGGAUAGUUGGGGGCAUUAGUAUUCAAUUGUCAGAGGUGAAAUUCUUGGAUUUAUUGAAGACUAACUACUGCGAAAGCAUUUGCCAAGGAUGUUUUCAUUAAUCAAGAACGAAAGUUAGGGGAUCGAAGACGAUCAGAUACCGUCGUAGUCUUAACCAUAAACUAUGCCGACNAGGGAUCGGAUGAUGUUAAUUUUUUAANGCUCAUUCGGCGCCUACGGG
rnacentral:misc_RNA from 1 species